rnacentral:rRNA from 1 species
UGUGUCAGCCGCCGCGGUAAUACGUAGGGGGCGAGCGUUGUCCGGAAUUACUGGGCGUAAAGGGUGCGUAGGCGGCCCUUUAAGUCAGAUGUGAAAGCCCGCAGCUUAACUGCGGAAUUGCAUUUGAAACUGGAGGGCUUGAGUGUCGGAGAGGGUAGUGGAAUUCCCAGUGUAGCGGUGAAAUGCGUAGAUAUUGGGAGGAACACCAGUGGCGAAGGCGACUACCUGGACGAUAACUGACGCUGAGGCACGAAAGCUAGGGGAGCAAACAGGAUUAGAUACCCUGGUAGUCCUAACCGUAAACGAUGGGUACUAGGUGUGGGUGGUUUCGAUACCAUCCGUGCCGUAGUUAACGCAUUAAGUACCCCGCCUGGGGAGUACGUGCGCAAGCAUGAAACUCAAAGGAAUUGACGGGGGCCCGCACAAGCGGUGGAGCAUGUGGUUUAAUUCGAAGCAACGCGAAGAACCUUACCAGGGUUUGACAUCCUCUGACGGCUGUAGAGAUACAGAAUUCUCUUCGGAGACAGAGAGACAGGUGGUGCAUGGUUGUCGUCAGCUCGUGUCGUGAGAUGUUGGGUUAAGUCCCGCAACGAGCGCAACCCCUGUCGCCAGUUGCCAUCAUUAAGUUGGGGACUCUGGCGAGACCGCCGUUGACAAAACGGAGGAAGGUGGGGAUGACGUCAAAUCAUCAUGCCCCUUACGUCCUGGGCUACACACGUACUACAAUGGUAGGAACAACGGGUGGCGCCGCCGCGAGGCGAAGCAAAUCUCCAAAUCCUAUCUCAGUUCGGAUUGCAGGCUGCAACUCGCCUGCAUGAAGCAGGAAUUGCUAGUAAUGGCAGGUCAUCAUACUGCCGUGAAUACGUUCCCGGGCCUUGUACACACCGCCCGUCACACCAUGAGAGUCUGUAACACCCGAAGCCGGUGGCCUAACCGCAAGGAGGGAGCCGUCGAAGGUGGGGCGGAUGAUUGGGGUGAAGUCGUAACAAGGUAGCCA